UCCUCCUGCUGCUUAAGAGAGACAAAAAUGUCAGACACUUGCAGGCUAUUUCCUCCAUUUGGAGACCCCUGGCCUUUCUGCCUGUUACCCUCUCAUCUUCACCUUUUAAAAUAUUUGAGUUAUGGGGUGCUGUAUCACCUUCCAUCCUCAGACUCUGUCUCAGAUGUGAACUUUAUCUCACUUCUACAGUGUUUCAGCCUCUCCCAGUCUUCCUGCCUCUGUUCUUGUUUAUCUCUGAUCAGCUUGUAUUGUCAUUGUGAUAUACACAAGCAGCUUUGAGUCUCUUGUUUGCAUAAUCUCCCAUGGCACCUUCAUAGUUCUUUCUUUUAUGUCCACAGCAGAACUAUGCCAUCCAGUUUUCUUAGUCUCAAUAUACCAAGGAGGGCUGCUCAAAACUAUUAAGCUGAUUCUGUUUUUAAAAAUUGCCAUUUGACCUUUGUUGCUGGCUGUUUAUUUAUUGCCCAUAACACAUGUUUUUCAAAUCUCUACAAAUGUUAGUUUUUGGAAACCUGUACUCUUCCUCUUCAACUUUGUUCUCUUUAUGGAGAGCAUAUUAGAACAAACCCUUUUGAUUUCUCCAACACUUGCAUACUUCUCUCUACAAAAGAAAAACAAACAAAAAAUGUAUUCUCUGAUUAGAGUGAUUGCUGGAAGCAUGAUAGCAACAAAGUAUAUGAUGUUUAAAUAUCCAGCUUAGAAGUGCUGGUGGUUUAGGCACCAAGUCUGACUGUUGUGACCCUGUGAGCUGUAGCCCUCCAGGCUCCUCUGUCCCUGGGAUUCCUCAGGCAAGAAUACUAGAGUGGGUUGACAUUUCUUUCUCCCAGGGAUCUUCCCGACCCAGGGUUCGAACCUGGAAUUCCUGCCUUGCAGGUGGAUUCUUUACUGCUGAGCUGUCAGGGAAUCCUAUCCAGCUCAGAAUUCAAUAUACUAAAAUGUCAUCCCAGGUCUGUCACUUAGCCUUUCCAAGUCCCACUUGUCCCAUCUGUGAAAUGCUAUGGUUAUCAUACCUACCUCCUAGAGUUGUAAUGAGGAUUAUGUAAAUUUCCCAGCAUAAAUAAGUCACUCAAAAAUGCUUACGACUGGCUGCAUUGAUUGGAUGGGUUUGCCAGUAAUGACCUGGCCAACCCAGGGAGUGGUUCUCAGCCUAGGCUGCAUAUUGAAAUUGCCUAGAGAACUUUAGAAAAUAGAGAUUUGUUCUCUAGAGGUUCUGAUUCAGUUGAUCUGGGAUGUGGCCAGGUCACUAUAAUUUUUUUUAAACCUUACCAAGUGAUUCCAGUGAGUAGCUAUGUUUGAAAACUGUGUUUGAAAGCCAUAUUUAAAAGCAAGAUAUAAGAUUCUCUUCUUGGCAGAUUGUUAAAAGGAGACAGUGGGCUCUGUAAACAGACCUGGCAUGGUGCCUGCCUUCUAGAAGCUAUUUCUUUCCUGUGCUUUCAGGCACUCUCUUCUGCUGAUAACCGGGCUCUUUGAGAUGGGCCCCCAUCCAUCAUACUACUGCUGCUUAAGGAUGUAUGAAGGGUUUGCCUGCUGGCCCAAGACACUCCAGUUCAGACCUCCAGGACCUCCAGUCCAGGUCCUAAGGUUCAGAUUUGGCUGGAGGUAACAGCGCUCUGAAUUUCUUCAAUGAGGGAGGCAGUAAAGUCCAAGUUUGAGAGUGACUAUUUAUCAUCGCUCUGUUUAAGCUCCACUGAUCCAUUCUUCCCACACAUCAAUUAAGUCUAGGGUAGGUUUUUGGGUUACCAGAUGACACUAGUGGUAAAGAAUCCACCUGCCAAUGCGGGAGACGCAUGAGACAUGGGUUCGAUCCCUUGGAAUAGGAAAUGGCAACCCACUCCAGUAUUCUUGCCUGGAGAAUCCAAUGGACAGAGGAGCCUGGUGUGUUGCAGCAGUCCAUGGGGCGCAAAGAGUCGGACACAAUUAAUUAAGCACCUGAGCACAUACAAAUAAUUAAUGAAGUAGUUCUUUUUGACAGCAACCCAAAAAAGUUCAGUCCAGUCUGAUAAUCAGUCUAAUCCGUGAAAUAUUAAAACUGAAGCACCAUUCCGAGUGGAAACUCCGUGCUCUGCUGGUUUAGUCUUGCCUCUGGCUGGGAGGAGACUUGACCGGCCUCUUCUCUCUGCCCUCAGUCACUUUUCCUCCUCAGUCACUCCUCUGUGGUCAAACCGUGGGAAGAGUAGACUAGGAAUAAGUACAGUUUUGUGUGGCUGCCUCAGGUGUCCUCUGACCUUGGGGCUAUGGAGGCCCACACACAGGGCUGCUCUUUCUCUUUUAAGGGCCGCUGUGGGAGUUUCUCAGACACCGCCCUCCACAGACUUUUCUAGUGUGGUUCCUUUAGCGUGAGAAGUCAGUGUCUCUCCUUCAGCUGUCUUGUUCACCGCUCUCCCUUCAGUGCCUGGCUUCCUGGUAGGCUGGUUCCUCCCUGUUGGGGUCCUGGUGCUCUCAGGUUGUUUAGGAGUUCUCUUUUAUUGGGACCACAGGUCAGCUCCGUCUGUGGGGAAAGACAUUCAGUCAAGUAACGGGAACGGCUAAUGGAUACCUUGACAGUGGAAAUGCAGGUCUCUCCCAACUCAACCUGACUUUUCGCUGCUUCGCUGCCUCAGCCUCAUCUAGCCAAGUCCUUACAGCUUUUAACUUUUCAAAGGUGGAUUGGAUAUUCUUCCAUAGGUUCCUCAAGCUUCAGGGGGCACGUGUCCCUUCUCAAGGGACUAAGCAGAGUGAGGGGGAGGCAAGCCCCUCCUUACCACAGUGGGUGGGACGGGGGAAAGUCCAGAGCCUUCAGCUUAGCUCCCCAGAGAUGUCUGUUUCCUAUUUCUCCAUACUCUGAUGACUCCCCAAGGCACUUAUAGAUCUUUGACGGGACUGAUGAGCUAAAUGCUACAAGAAUCUGUUUUUAGACUGCCCCCUGCAGAUCCUGCUCAGGGGUCUAACAUCUCAAUAGGGAACAUGGAGCUUCUGAUAAAACGAGACUGAAGUAAUAGAAUACAUUACAUUUAAAUCCUGUUAACAUUAUUAAACAGUAAUAAUUUUGUUUAACAUUUUCCUUCCUUGGAUUACUUAAAACCUAAGAGAGCAGAAGUCUUGUUUGACUUAACUCAUAGUACACAGUGCUUGGCACAGUGUCUAGUAUAUAAAAAAAUGCUUAACAAAUAUUUAUUGAAUGAUGCAUGAAUCAAUCAAUAAAUGUCUUAUCUUUCUUGAAAUAUUUGA